CGGAUGUAGCCAAGUG
rnacentral:tRNA from 6 species